UGCUUUGACAGAUGAAACACAGAUUUGUCAGAAAAUGCUCCUGGGCUUGAUUUGCAUAUAGGAAACCGUUUUCUCCGCCCAUGAUGAAAGCAAGAAAAUCGCGUACAUUGAUCUAGCAAUGGCCUUUGACCCGACGAUUUAUCCAAAGGAAAAACACAUCUAUCCCCAGCAAUCUUGGUGAAGUAACUGGGCGGAGCAACGGCGGUCCGGCGGGUGUGUGGAUGAAAACGGCGCAAAGUAACAGUCUUGUUGACACCCGGUAAGAAUCGAAGAGAUGUGGGUUUGUUAAAGGAAGAUGAGGGCUUGUGGUUGAGGUUUAAUGGGUGUGUGGUGAUUGAUGAAGAAGCUUCCAUUGAUUUGUAGAAUGAAGGGGAAAUCUAGAGGGAGUCUGUGAAUAUCUUCACCGCCACCAA
rnacentral:lncRNA from 1 species